rnacentral:rRNA from 1 species
AGAGUUGAUCCUGGCUAGGAUGAACGCUGGCGGCGUGCCUAAUACAUGCAAGUCGAACGAGGUAGCAAUACCGAGUGGCGAACGGGUGAGUAACACGUAGGUAACCUGCCCUUAAGCUUGGGAUACCCAGAGGAAACUUGGCUAAUACCGGAUAACAACAGAGAAGGCAUCUUCUUUGCUUGAAAGGCCCCUUCAAGGGUCACUUAAGGAUGGACCUGCGGCGCAUUAGCUAGUUGGUGAGAUAACAGCCCACCAAGGCGAGGAUGCGUAGCCGAACUGAGAGGUUGAUCGGCCACAUUGGAACUGAGACACGGUCCAAACUCCUACGGGAGGCAGCAGUAAGGAGUUUUCGGCAAUGGGGGAAACCCUGACCGAGCAACGCCGCGUGAGCGAUGACGGCCCUAUGGGUUGUUAAAAAGCUCUGUUGUAAGCCAUGAAUGACAGCUUGAGGAAAUGCAAGUUGUUUGACGACAGCUUACCAGAAAGCCACGGCUAACUACGUGCCAGCAGCUGC